rnacentral:rRNA from 1 species
UACGGGGGGGGCAAGCGUUGUUCGGAAUUACUGGGCGUAAAGGGCGCGUAGGCGGCCAUUCAAGUCAGGGGUGAAAGCCUGUGGCUCAACCACAGAAUUGCCUUUGAUACUGUUUGGCUAGAGACCGGAAGAGGUAAGUGGAACUGCGAGUGUAGAGGUGAAAUUCGUAGAUAUUCGGAAGAACACCAGUGGCGAAGGCGGCUCACUGGUCCGGUACUGACGCUGAGGUGCGAAAGCGUGGGGAGCAAACAGG